GAGGGUGUAGCUCAGUGGUAGAGCGUGUGCUUAGCAUGCACAAGGUCCUGGGUUCAAUCCGCAGUAUCUCUG
rnacentral:tRNA from 1 species